AUGGGCCCCUCACUGUCCUUCGCUGCAGGGAGGUCCUGAAGAGGAGUCGCUGCUGAGGACUCUGUUAUUUGUGGGCUGUGGUGUGUCCCUCUGUGCUCUUGCUACCACCUCCUUGCUCUUCGUGGUGGCUGGGGUUCCCGUGUCUGAACGGACCACAAUCCACAAGAUUUUCCCUGGCCUCUGCUGAGGCCUUCCUCAUGACCAGCGAGUGGGCAAAGAGCAACAAGGUGACCUGUGUGGUUGUCACAGCGGCCAUGCAUCUUCUCUUUCUGGUUGCCUUCUCCUGGAUGCUGGCAGAGGGACUGCUGCUUUGGAGCAAGGUGGUAGCCGUGAGCAUGCACCCAGGCCCCAGGAUGAGGCUGUACUAUACUGCAGGCUGGGGUGAGGACCCCUGAUCCCCACUCUUGUUCUUUCCGUUGCUCUCCAAUACUACCCCACACCAGUACCACCCAGACCCAUCCUUGGGCACAUUGGUAUCAUUCAGCAUCCAACAGCACCUAGGAACUACCUAAUACCUAGUACCCAGUACCACUGAACAUCCAGCACUCAAUACUACCCUAUACCUUUUUCACCCAGUACCACCUGAUACUUAUCUCUGAUGUGAUCUCAGUUUCCCCAGUUACAUGAGAUUCUAGUUGUACCCAGUCUGUUUUUCUUAAGUCCCUUCCACUCAGCAGCCUCAGUCUCCACCUCUUAGAUUGGCCCAGGGGACAGUUGUGGGCUGGAUCCAAGACAGCAAUGAGUGGUGGCAUGGCCUGAGUCUAUUUCCUCCUUCCCUAGGCAUUCCUGUGGCCAUUGUGGCCAUCACUCUAGCAUUGCACCCUCAUGACUAUGUGGCUUCUGGACACUGCUAGCUCAAUGUUCACACGGAUGCCAUCCUUUGUGGGGCCCGUUCUGUUUGUGUUGACUGGGAGCUGGGAGGUGUGGGUGCUACAAGGGAGGGGCAUGUUGGGAAGAGGUGAUUCCUCUUGCUCACUGGAGCUCAACCUCCAGGCAAAUACUUACAUCCUGGUCCAUGUUGUAAUGAUCACUCUAUCCAGCACCCACCGCCGUGCACGCAUGCUGAGCCCACAGCCUGACCUACAGCAGAAGAUCAAGUUCCAAAUGUGGUGAGGCUCAGCUAGGGGGGCAGGGUGAGAUUGGGGUACAGGGCCAGCUGGCACCUCACAUGAGCGUGGUGUAGUGUGAGCAUGUGAGUCUGUGUUGGGAUGUGUGGCCAAGUGUGAGCCUGUGUUAAGUAGUGAGUACACGUGUGACCUUGCUUACGAGACACCCAUGCUUGGGUAUGUCACGCUGUGUAAGACACUGGGGAUACCAGCCACUGCCCUGGGGCCUCACUAUCUGCAGAAGGUGCUGAGGGUCUGCCUGAGACAAGACAGGAGGAGUCCUCAAGUCAGGCCAUCCCCAGUUCAGGAUCAGAGUAAGGAUUCAGGUCUCUAGCUCUACCAAAGACCCUUCCCAUCCCCAGCACCAUGACUACUGGAGCACAAUGCUGUGACCUUCUUCCUAUAGCCCGGCCUUCUCUGUGGCCUUCCUCACUUGACCAGUCUCUGCUGCAGCAGAACCACUCAAACCAGCAAGUGCCUG
rnacentral:lncRNA from 1 species